GACGAACGCUGGCGGCGUGCUUAACACAUGCAAGUCGAACGGAAAGGCCCGGCUUUUGUGGGGUGCUCGAGUGGCGAACGGGUGAGUAACACGUGAGUAACCUGCCCUUGACGUUGGGAUAACGUCAGGAAACUGGGGCUAAUACCGGAUAGGAGCUCCUGCUGCAUGGUGGGGGUUGGAAAGUUUCGGCGGUUGGGGAUGGACUCGCGGCUUAUCAGCUUGUUGGUGGGGUAGUGGCUUACCAAGGCUUUGACGGGUAGCCGGCCUGAGAGGGUGACCGGCCACAUUGGGCCUGCGCUACGGCCCAGCCUCCUACGGGAGGCAGCCGUGGGGAAUAUUGCACAAUGGGCGGAAGCCUGAUGCAGCAACGCCGCGUGCGGGAUGACGGCCUUCGGGUUGUAACCCGCUUUCGCCUGUGACGAAGCGUGAGUGACGGUAAUGGGUAAAGAAGCACCGGCUAACUACGUG
rnacentral:rRNA from 1 species